AAAAAACAAAACAAAACAAAAAAUGAAAAUUAAGAACCUUCCCAAGUUGACAUGAUCGUGAAAAUCACAACUAAGAAAUGAAACUUAAGUCUUUUUCAUUCCAUUUUCAUUACAGCUGAUUGACUACCCUUCCAAUAUUUUGAGUCUAUACAUCUGAAACAACCUGUUUCCAAAGAGCAUUCUUUUUUUUUUAAGUACAUAUCCUAAGACAAUAUUAACUUUCCCAGGUAUGACAUUGUCCAGCACCACAACUGGCCAAUCAGAAGUAAGCUGCAGCCAUCAAUCUAUGAAAGGACAAGCAGCUCCAAGAUCACUCCUUAAAACAUAGUUUGCAUUAUUGUGGGUGAAAAAAGCCUAUGAAUUCAUAAAUGUGCCUGGUAUAAAUUAGAAAAAAAAAGUUGGACAAAUGGUCAUAAGGAACGAGAUACAUGACAAUCACAAUGGAGGAAAUUCUGGUGUGCCCAGUCUUUCACCGAGCCAGCGUUAGAGCCACUGCAAGUUACUUCAUCAUUCUCUGGAAUAUCUCUUCUCCAAAGAAUGAAUGCACUGGAAGCUAUAGCAUCACAUCUAAUGCUGAAGAAGAGAAGUAGAAUGUGUUUACUUCUUGCAAGUAGGUAAAAAUUUAAACUAAUAUAAGCACUGUUAAUUGAAUUGCUUCCUGGACUCACUAGCUCCGGACAUCACAGUUAAAUUGAAUUUUUUAAAGGAAUUUUUAAUAAUUUUGUUUAUUGGCUCUGCUGGGUCUUCAGUGCUACAUGGGCUUUUCUGUAGUUGUGGCACUUGGGCUUCUCAUCGCAGGGCUUCCCUUGUGGACCAUGGUCUCAAGGUUGUGUGGGCUUCAGUAGCUGAAUGCAAGGGCUCAGUGCCUGAGGUUCCUGGGCUCUAGAACACAGAUUCAAUAGUUGUGGUCCACGGGCUUAGCUGCUCCUUGGCACGUGGGAUCUUCCCGGACCAGGGAAUGAACCCAUGUCUCCUGCUUUGACAGGCGAAUUCUUUACCACUGAGCCACCAGGGUAGCCCUAAAUUGAAUUUUGAUGAAUGCCCAGUGUUUGGUGACAGAGGGUCUUUCCCAUUCUGAGCACAUCACAGAAUGUCUCUAGUUCUGAGGUUCUUGAGAGUGUUAUGUGACUGUGUUCAGCAGCAUAUCCCACACAUCAUUCUCCCCUGAACACUUGUUUAAGCUGACAUGUCAUUGCCUCUAGUGAUGAGAAUGCCAUCAUGUAAACACCACUGUUACCUCUUGUGAUCACCAUGGACUAAUUUAUCAUUGCAAAUCAGACAUGGAAAUAGUUUUUUUUUUUUCUUUUAUGGUCCAACUAACUCCAGACUCAACAUUCAACAAUAUUUUACUAAAGCUUCUGUGAUAAUGGAUGAAAGAAGAGGAGAGCACUUGAGAAAGUUCCCCAUUGCUCUAUGAGGGCAUGUUCAAAAGUCACAGUUCAUCCUUAGCGUCACCUAGAAAAUAAUACUCUGCUAAGUCUCUCCUCUGCCCCUGUGUACUUGGUACCAGGUCUUUUACCACUGAGGAUAUACCAAAUCUAUUUGGUCUUUUGUCUUCAGACUCAAGGGACAUGACCCAGAAAGUGUUUU
rnacentral:lncRNA from 1 species